rnacentral:rRNA from 1 species
GGGACACGUGGUAUCCUGUCUGAAUAUGGGGGGACCAUCCUCCAAGGCUAAAUACUCCUGACUGACCGAUAGUGAACCAGUACCGUGAGGGAAAGGCGAAAAGAACCCCGGCGAGGGGAGUGAAAAAGAACCUGAAACCGUGUACGUACAAGCAGUGGGAGCCUCUUUUAUGGGGUGACUGCGUACCUUUUGUAUAAUGGGUCAGCGACUUAUAUUCUGUAGCAAGGUUAACCGAAUAGGGGAGCCGAAGGGAAACCGAGUCUUAACUGGGCGUUAAGUUGCAGGGUAUAGACCCGAAACCCGGUGAUCUAGCCAUGGGCAGGUUGAAGGUUGGGUAACACUAACUGGAGGACCGAACCGACUAAUGUUGAAAAAUUAGCGGAUGACUUGUGGCUGGGGGUGAAAGGCCAAUCAAACCGGGAGAUAGCUGGUUCUCCCCGAAAGCUAUUUAGGUAGCGCCUCGUGAAUUCAUCUCCGGGGGUAGAGCACUGUUUCGGCAAGGGGGUCAUCCCGACUUACCAACCCGAUGCAAACUGCGAAUACCGGAGAAUGUUAUCACGGGAGACACACGGCGGGUGCUAACGUCCGUCGUGAAGAGGGAAACAACCCAGACCGCCAGCUAAGGUCCCAAAGUCAUGGUUAAGUGGGAAACGAUGUGGGAAGGCCCAGACAGCCAGGAUGUUGGCUUAGAAGCAGCCAUCAUUUAAAGAAAGCGUAAUAGCUCACUGGUCGAGUCGGCCUGCGCGGAAGAUGUAACGGGGCUAAACCAUGCAC